rnacentral:rRNA from 1 species
GAUGAACGCUCGCGGCAGGCCUAAUACAUGCAAGUCGAACGAGAUUAAGAGGCUUGCUUCUUAUGAAAGUGGCGCACGGGUGCGUAACGCGUAUGCAACCUACCUUAAUCAGGGGGAUAGCCCGAAGAAAUUCGGAUUAAGACCGCAUAAAAACACAGGAUAGCAUUAUCCAAUGUUCAAAUAUUUAUAGGAUUAAGAUGGGCAUGCGUGUCAUUAGCUAGUUGGCGGGGUAACGGCCCACCAAGGCGACGAUGACUAGGGGAUCUGAGAGGAUGACCCCCCACACUGGUACUGAGACACGGACCAGACUCCUACGGGAGGCAGCAGUAAGGAAUAUUGGUCAAUGGAGGGAACUCUGAACCAGCCAUGCCGCGUGCAGGAAGACAGCCCUCUGGGUCGUAAACUGCUUUUAUUCGGGAAUAAACCUUUCUACGUGUAGGAAGCUGAAUGGACCGAAGGAAUAAGGAUCGGCUAACUCCGU